rnacentral:rRNA from 1 species
CAGCCGCCGCGGUAAUACCGGCGGCCCGAGUGGCGGUCACUAUUAUUGGGCUUAAAGCGUCCGUAGCCGGGUUGGGAAGUCCUCCGGGAAAUCUGGCCGCUUAACGGUCAGAAUGCCGGAGGAUACUCCCAGCCUAGGGAGCGGGCGAGGCCGAGGGGAUUCCCGGGGUAGGGGGGAAAUCCUAUAAUCCCGGGAGGACCACCUGUGGCGAAGGCGCUCGGCUGGAACGCGUCCGACGGUGAGGGACGAAGGCCAGGGGAGCAAACCGGAUUAGAUACCCGGGUAGUCCUGGCUGUAAACGAUGCGGACUUUGUGUCGGACAAGCUAUGAGCUUGUCCGGUGCCGGAGGGAAACCGUUAAGUCCGCCGCCUGGGGAGUACGGCCGCAAGGCUGAAACUUAAAGGAAUUGGCGGG